GGCGGCAUAGCCAAGUGGUAAGGCAGAGGUCUGCAAAACCUUCACCCCCAGUUCGAAUCUGGGUGCCGCCU
rfam:Phormidium ambiguum IAM M-71 NIES-2119_Scaffold_18, whole genome shotgun sequence.